rfam:Musa acuminata subsp. malaccensis Doubled-haploid Pahang (DH-Pahang) genomic chromosome, chr9
AUACUUACCUGGACGGGGUCGACGGGUGAUCAAGAAGGCACGUGGCCUAGGGCAGCGGCCCCCAUUGCACGUGGGGGGUUGAGCUGCUCUACCAUCUCCCCAAGUGGGAGAGUGGGCGUCGUAAUUUGUGGUAUCGGGGGAACGCGUCCGCGCGGCCCCCAC